rnacentral:rRNA from 1 species
GACGAACGCUGGCGGCGUGCUUAACAAAUGCGAGUCGAACGGAGAGGCCCUGCUUUUGUGGGGUGCUCGAGUGGCGAACGGGUGAGUAACACGUGAGUAACCUGCCCUUGACUUUGGGAUAACUUCAGGAAACUGGGGCUAAUACCGGAUAGGAGCGCCGGCUGCAUGGUGGGGGUUGGAAAGUUUCGGCGGUUGGGGAUGGACUCGCGGCUUAUCAGCGUGUUGGUGGGGUAGUGGCUUACCAAGGCUUUGACGGGUAGCCGGCCUGAGAGGGUGACCGGCCACAUUGGGACUGAGAUACGGCCCAGACUCCUACGGGAGGCAGCAGUGGGGAAUAUUGCACAAUGGGCGGAAGCCUGAUGCAGCAACGCCGCGUGCGGGAUGACGGCCUUCGGGUUGUAAACCGCUUUCGCCUGUGACGAAGCGUGAGUGACGGUAAUGGGUAAAGAAGCACCGGCUAACUACGUG